rnacentral:rRNA from 1 species
ACUCUUUAGCGGUGGAUCACUCGCUCGUGAGUCGAUGAAGACGCAGCUAGCUGCGAGAACUAAUGUGAAUUGCAGGACACAUUGAUCAUUGACACUUCGAACGCACUUUGCGGCCCCCCAGGUUCCUCCUGGGGCUAACCCUGUCGGGGUCGCU